GGAUUCACCCUCCUUUUGACGUUCACCAUGGCCUGGAUCCUUGUUCUCCUCACAUGCCUCAGUUACUGUUCAGGUGUCACAUCGCAGACAACAUUGAUCCAGCCUGCCUCCGAGUCUGUGUCUCCAAGUCAAACUGUCAAAUUGCCCUGCUCUAGAAGUAGUGGCAGCUUGCAUACUUAUAGCUGGCAUCAACAGAAAGGUGGACAGGCUCCUCGUUUUGUGUUCUAUGCUACCGGCACCCGGGGAACCGGGAUCCCUGAUCGGUUCACUGCCUCCACCUCUGGGAACACUUACUAUUUAACCAUCUCCAAUGUCCAGCCUGAAGACGAGGCGGUUUAUUACUGUUGUGACUAUGUGACAGGCAGUAAUGUGUUCCACGGUGGUACAAUCUGA